GAUGAACGCUGGCGGCGUGCCUAAUACAUGCAAGUCGAGCGAACAGACGAGGAGCUUGCUCCUCUGACGUUAGCGGCGGACGUGUGAGUAACACGUGGAUAACCUACCUAUAAGACUGGGAUAACUUCGGGAAACCGGAGCUAAUACCGGAUAAUAUAUUGAACCGCAUGGUUCAAUAGUGAAAUACGGUUUUUCUGUCACUUAUAGAUGGAUCCGCGCCGCAUUAGCUAGUUGUUAAGGUAACGGCUUACCAAGGCAACGAUGCGUAGCCGACAUGAGAGGGUGAGCGGCCACACUGGAACUGAGACCCGGUACAGACUCCUACGGGAGGCAGCAGGAGGGAAUCUUCCGCAAUGGGCGAAAGCCUGACGGAGCAACGCCGAGUGAGUGAUGAAGGUCUUCGGAUGGUAAAACUCUGUUAUUAGGGAAGAACAAAUGUGUAAGUAACUAUGCACGUCUUGACGGUACCUAAUCAGAAAGCCACGGCUAACUACGUG
rnacentral:rRNA from 1 species